UUUUUUGUGCAUACCCAAGAUCCAAACCUGUGACGUGAACAUCAGUUCAUAUACUGCCUUUUGUGCUUGUUAUUAACACAGGUCCGUGGUUCAGAAUAGAAGUCAAUUAGUGAAAUACAGACAUGAAAAUGUAUAUUUAAGCCUAUCUUUAUUAUAUCGAGGUUGAUCUCUAUGGUAAAAACAAUUAAUUACAACUCAAGAAAAUAUUCCCGAUGAAAAGCGUUUUAUUGUCUAUGCCUUAUAGUCACUUAUGUAAUGAGUAUAAGAACUUCUAUUAUACUGUCAUUUGUAGCAAAGAUUUAAAGUAAUUAAAUACUCAGUUUAUUUUUAUAACAAUGCAAUGUUCAAGAAGAAUGUUAUUUUCUGUUCCUUGAACUAGGAUAACAUCAGAAAUCUUGAAACCCAGUAAAGUACAGGGAAUCGAGCAGCAUAUUAGUUUUGAAGAACAGACACAUAUUUAACUAAGGAGAAGUAUUCCUAUGGUAUCUUUAUAUUGUGAUAUCUAUUAACACUUCCAUCUCUGAUAGUAAACACCAUAGGAAUUCCAGUAAGACACGUUAUGAGAGGUCCUGUUGGCUGAUACUUCUCCUUAUUUGUUUGGUGAAACUGGGCAAGUCAUUUAACUUCUCUGAGUCACUGAGCCUUCAUUUGUUAAUACGGAUACGCUUGUCACAAAUACUUUGUUAGGAUACAGUAUGACCACACACACACACACACACACACACACACACACACAGUCAUUUGUAAAGUCCAAAGCACUGAAAAGGAAUUGUUCUUAAUGAAUUCUUAGUCACUCUAAAAUUUUUUUUUCAACAGUUUUGUCACUGUUGUCAUUGGCCGAAAGUUCUUGUAACCAAAACUUGCCUUAUCAAACAGAAAACCAAGGUGGGAAGUGGUGGGGGAGGGGUGUUAUUUGUAUAAUAUCCUUGACAUGUUUUCGCUAGCUAAAACUUGAACACUUAUCUUUAUAGAUGUAGAAAUUAAUGAAAACAUUUGUCUUUGUGUGUUAGGAGCAUUUCCUUUUAAGGAAAAGGUUGGUAUUGGCAAGAAACAUAGCUGCAGCAUUGGGAAUUUUGUUAUAAAAUUACUAAGCAGCAAAUAUAUGCAACAAUUAAGUAAGCUUUGGAUAGUGUGUUCAAUAUUUAUUUAAAGAAAUAGUUACCAUGGCACCUUGCAGAAAAAUGCACCAGUAUCUGAAAACAAAAACAGCAAUUUUAGUAUUGUUCUUUAAAAAAUAUGCAUAUAUAGAAACAACACUGGGGGUUAAUAUUACAAAAGCAUGUCGAUGUGUGCCUUAAAACAUAUAUUCCAAUUGGGAGACUAUUUCAGGAAAAAAAUAGUUAAAUGAAAGUUUGUUUAUAAGCUUUAUCACUUUUAUUUAUAUAGCUAGGUGAUUCCACUUAUGUAAAUUAAGAUGAGAUAACUUUUUGGGAGAAAAUAGAAUCACAUGUCCCUUGAUAAACCACCUGCAUUUAUCUUUAUUUCUACACUUUGCCUUUGGCUCUGUGGCCUCUAACUUGCCACAUUACUUCUAUUUCUCAGAAUGUGAAUUCCCGCAACAGGCAAAGUUCUUUCACGAUUUUUGCUUCAUACAGUGGCUUCAUUUGACUUACAUUCUUUCCUACAUCCCACAACACCUCUCCUUGGUGUGCUCUGUUUUAUCCUUUAAAAUUUAGCCAAGAUGUUUUCACGUUUUGAACUUUACUACCUAGUAAAAUUAAGAGCUUCUUUGUGUCUUUAUAAUUAUUUUCAUUUACUUCUGUAACAAUGCAGUGUAACUCCAGGUUGCGUGUCUGACUCAUCAGCCGAACACUAGCUCCUUAAGAAAAAGUUUCACAAAGGAAAGGAUUAAUAGAUUCAGAAUUAUUUAUUCAUUUAUUCUUUAUUUCAACAAAUAUUUAUAGAGCAUUUACCAUAUGUCAAGCAAGCAGCUAUCAAUAAAAAUUCACAGUCCCUGCCUUCAGUGAGUUCAGACUCACACAGAACUGUCUCUCCUAGGGGAGGCAGACAUUUAUUUAUCAAACAAUCUUAGAAUUUAUGUUUACUUAUUUUUGAGAGAGUGCAAAUGGGGGAGGGGCAGAGAGAGGGGGACAGAGGAUCCGAAGCGGGCUGCGUGCUGAUAGGCUGACAGCAGCAAGCCCAAUGUGGGGCUCGAACUCAAGAAUAGCCAAAGCUGGAUGCUCAACUGACUGAGCCACUAAGGUGCCCCAGAAUUGAGUUUACUUUUACAAUCAUGGUAAAUUCUGUGAGGGUCGUGGUAUUGUGGUAGGGCACCUCUAGGAGGAUUUGGUGAGGAUUUGCCCAGGCGAGAGGUGAUGGUAAUUUGGAUUAGAUAUAGACAUAUAGAUAUAGAAUAAGCCAGAUUUGAGAGAACAUUGACAGGUGACACUAAUGAGACUUUUUGAUGAAUUGAGAGGUUCGGGGGAUUGAGGGAGUGUCAGAUGUCAAGGAUGCUGAUCAGAUUUCUGCCUUGAGUCCCUCCAGCUGCCAGUCUUAGACUGGGAGUUCCUGGAGGCAGAAGGUGGCUCUCAUUCAGCCUUGUGGCUUCUUCAAGGGUUUACUCUUCGUCAUUAUAUUGUUUGCUUAGUCUUUAGUGUUUAAGACAGUUACUAUGUUCACGACACUGUUUCUGGGUUGGUUUGUUUGUUUUAAGUUACAAAUAAAGCAGAAUUCCUUCCCUUCAGGUACUUAUUAUGGCUCAAUUAGGGACAGAACUAUUAUAUAUUGUCUCCUAUUCUCUUAUGGAGUAGUGUGCCAGGUAUGAUGAUUGAAGAAGGUACAUUGGGAUCGCAAAGGCAUAAACUUACUACACAUAGAAAAACGUGAGAAGAAAAAAUAUAAUGGAAGUAAUUAAAUAUAAGAAUGGCCUUGAGAGAGGAGUAUGAUUUUGAAAGGUACCUGUAGGUAUCCUGGCAUGGUAAACAUCUAAAACAAUACCUAGAAGUGAGAAAAUGGAGCGGAGGUACACAGCAAUAAUGAACAGUCUAGUUUAGUGGGGACACAAAGUGAGACAAAAAUAAAAGGAGAGCACUGAAAAUGUGGAUUUGAAUUUUGAUUGAUGUUAUGAGGAUUAUUUGCUUAAUUUAGUAUGUAGGACGUUUUAGGGGUUAGACAUAAUAAUUAGUAAGAAUUGGAAUGGGAGAGACAUAGGAUACUGGAAUAUACUUGGUAGUCCAGAAAAUAUUUACUUAGUGUAUGGUCAGCACAGGUUAUGUUUGAAUUUGACACAUGAGGGUCAGAAAAUAAGAAAGGUUGACAUACUAGUAGAAAUGAUGCUGGAUCCUAUAACGAACAGACCCCAAAUUGCCAAGGUUUGACAAAAUUGAGCUUUAUGUCUCCUAUAACUUUCCAAAGAAGAUGUUCCUGGAAGGGUAGUGUCUUUUCACCAUGUGGUGACUUACGGACCCCAAAUACAUCAUCUUCUGGUUCCUCCAUGCUCUACUGCCUUGGAAUACUUUCAUCCAGCUGACAGAAAGGGAAAUAGAGCACGUAGGAGGAAGAGCUACUUCCUAAAAGCUCAGCCUGAAAAUUAUACAUAUAACUUCCACUUCCACUGCCUUGUGGAUGGGUCACAUAGCCAAAUCAGAAUACAAAGAAGGCAGGGAAAUAUAAUUGGGUCAUGUAUCCAGGCAAAGAAGAGGAGAACAGGGUUAAAGAGGCAGCUAGCUCCCUCUUUCACAGAUGAUUUUGAUGAUUGUCACAUGUAACUGUGUGUAGAUGUUGCUGUCACCAACUCGUAUAAACAACACUCAUCAAGAGGAGUGAUGCCAAACAUGUUUAAUGCAAAGUGCUUUUCUGUAGGCCAUUCUACUGGAGAUUUCAGGCAGAAAUGUGCUUUGUAAGUCUGAAAUUUGGAGAAAACCUUUGAUUUGCUUUUUGAAUAUGGGGGGAGAAUUUACAGACUAAGCUGACUGUUGUAGAAGUAUUCAAUCAAUACAAAUAAGUUGGUGCUAGAAAUAAAAUGAUGGAUGAAAUAGAUGCGAUGCCUUUCUUUAGUGUAAGAGAAAGGGAAUUAGGAAAUUGACGAGAGGGCAGUUUAGAUCAACACUGUCCAAUAGAAGGCUCUGUGAUGAUGGAUAUGUUCUAUAUCUGUUCUGGUCAAUACAGUAACCGCUAGCCACAUGUGGCUAUUGAACACUUGAAAUGUGGCCAGUGUGACUAAGGAACCAAAUUUUUAUUUUUAUUUAAUUGUAAUAAAUUUAAGUUUAAUUCCAAGUGGAUUGAAACUCCUCAUGGACAAAGACUAUGUUUUGACUCAUUUGAACAAUAACAAUCAACAGCAAUGAUGACAAAUACGCCUGGGGCACUUACCCUAUGCCAAGCACAAUUCAAAGCACUUUGCACAUCUUCACCAAUUUAACCUUUGUAACAACACUGUGAGAUUAGUCAUAUUACUAUAAAUCUCCUUUUUGUAUCAUAAGGAAACUAAAAUGCCGAGUUAUGAGCUGUAUUUCCUUCUCUUAGAAAAUAUACACUCCAGUGCAGGAAAUAGACGAAAGAUCAUUCUAAGAGCAGUGAAGAAAACCAGUAAGCACUUACAAUGAGCUAGGGAGCAAAGACUGGAAUUCACCCAGCGAAGGAAAUGAAGAGGCUACUAUAGAAAUGGAGCUAAGGCAGGGUGGCAGAGCUGGCUGUAUAAAAUCUCUUAUAAACACCCAUCAGUGCACUUCCUUCUUUCUUUUCUCUAUCCCAGAAUUACAGAAUGUUCAGAUUACUCCUAUACCUACAUGGCAGACACCCACUUGUCUUUUGACUUUAAUCUUACUUUGGAUUGCAGCAUGUGGAGACCUGACAGUAUGGAAAUACUGAAAUUUCAAAACUGAAAGGAGCCCUUUCCCCCUCCCUGGCCCCUCCCCUGGCCCCUGGCUUCAGUUGAUGUGACUCUUAGUCUGCUUACGGCUGGAGGUGGCUGCCAUGGCCUGGAUGCCCUUUCCUCAGAAUGGAACAGGUCAGCCUGCCUGGAGCUGAGCUCAGCCCAUUUCCAUGCAUCAUUAAGGCUGGAUAAUGAUUAGCUAAAUUAUUCCUUCUCUAAGGCUAAUGAGCUGUGAGGUGAUACAUUUGUGGUUCAGUCUAAAAGAUAUAAAGUAGAUGAAGUUUUUGUCCAGAAAAUCCUCCUCUAGAAACCAUCAGCUUGGUUCUUCUUUUGUCAUCCUAGAGAAAACUGGCCCACAUUGCAGCCCAAAUCAUUUACAAACUGUUACCAACUUUGGGACAAUAACAGGGUUUUCUCUUAGUUUAUCCUGUGUAUAUGUGUACAUAUGGGUAUAUUUGUUUUUGUGAAAACGUGACAAUGUAUACAGUCCCAGAGGUCUCUCGAUUGGGGCAAUAAUACAUUUUUGUUGUUGUUGUUCUUUUCACUUUCCUUUUGAAUUUGAAUGCAUUUAUGCAUUGCUGAUAUGUUUAUAUAGAUUUAUCUUUCAUGUCGAUGCAUGCAAUAUAAGAUAGUUCUGAAAGAGAUGGCUGUCUUAUAUGUGAAUGAAGAAACUCUGAGUUUAAAGGGGUUGUAUGUACAUCAUCAUGUGACUGUGUGUAUUUAAAUCUGCAUAGAUGGAGUUUGACAGUUUGACAUUUAUAAAGAAAGUCACAACUAGAUUUACUGAUGUCACAUGUUGUUAUGGAAACUCUGUGUUUGUUAGGGUAGGCUCAGCUGUGGAAACAAAAGCAUCAGUGGCUUGACAUUUCUUCCUCACAUAGUCGUCCUGGAAGAUUGUUCAGGUAGAGAGAGCACCUCUCCUCCCCUCAGCCCUGCCUUGACCCAAUCUCUCUCUUGCUUAUGGCUGUGCUGUCCCUUGGGACAGAAGAGCAGAGGAACUGUGGAAGUAGAACCCCAGCUCUCUUCAGAAUUCUGACCAAGAAUUUUCCCACAUCGUCUCUGCCAACAUACCAAUGGAGAGAGCCCAGUUGUGUGCUCUAACUGCAAGAGAGGUUGGGACAUUUAGUCUAGAUUUGUAUCUAGCUGGGAUCUCCAUUCUGUUGGAAGUAAAGAAUUGAUUUUGGUAGUACUGCAUGAUUGAAGACUUUGUCUAACAUGGCAGAGUCCACCCACUCCAUAGAAGAGCAGGAUGCAGUUCUAUGUGAGCAGGAAGAACCCAGACAGAACAGAGGAAGAUACUGUGGCCAGAAUGGUUAACUUUUGUUCCUAACCGCACCACAAAGCUGGCUGAUUUCUCCUAGCAUGGAAGCAAUAAGAUGGGUGGAGGCAGAGCCGGAAGUUCAUUUAACUGAAGUUUCUUCACCUGGAAGCAUGAGAAGUAGAGAAUUAUUAUUUUGCUACCAACAAGUAUCAUCAAGAUUCUGAACUUCAUUUCUCAAAAGAAGAAACAAACACUGAGAACUUAAGUGAUCUGAGAAACUAAUGUUCAUUAAUUGCAUACUAAUAUCAGAGAGAGAUGCUCGUAUAUAUAUGCAGCUGGUAUGUUUUUUUUCUCAAUCUACUUAUUUUGAUGGUGAUGAUGAUGAUUAGAAUAUGCUAGUUGCUUAGGGUAUUAAACAGAACCUUCCUUAUGAAGCACUAUCUUAUAAAACUCCUCGAUGCUUUUUUUUUGGACCAGUGCUUCUAAGUAUGUGGUGAUAAGGAGUGUGGUCACAAAUCAGAAUGAGUGGGAGAGGAGGGCUCUUUUCAGACUAAGUUAUGCAGGUAGAGUUCUGGUAUUUAACUCCACCAUCUCCAGUUGAGAAUCUGUUCUCAAGUGAGCUACAGGAAUAAAGACCUCUAUUCCUCAGGUACCUGGGCCUGAAAACUUUUAAAGACCAUUACUUUCGAGUAAUGUUUUAAUUUCCCAUCACCGUGCCCAUAUAUAACUCCACUAGGCCCUCCAUUGGCCCUCCAUUGGGACCCUCAGCUUAGCACCUCCUCAUUGCCUUCCACCUACCUAAGGCCUCUUGUAAAUCUGCCUUCCCCUACUAUUCCCUCUUCCUCCCCCAACCCAUAUGAGGAUGUUCUGCUUAACCUAAUAGAAAAGGUGUCUGAAUUUUAAAUCUUAUCACAGAGCAAAGCUUUCAAGUGGCUCAAUCUUUUCAUACGUCUAUUUAAUCCUGAAAUAGUUAUGGGAAUCUCCAUGUGCCAGACCCUGCACAAGAGCUCAGGUUGCUAAGGUGAGGAGGACACAAAAAUGGCCACGAAGGACCUUAGGUUGCAGCCAGAGCCACAUUUCCUGAAGUGUCCUUAGAACCUUGCUACUAAAGUGUGGUGCCCCAUGGCAUUGCGUCCAAAAUGCUGAAUCUUAGGCCUCACUUUUGACUUAUUAAAUCAGAAUCUUUAUUUUA